rnacentral:rRNA from 1 species
UACGGGGGGGGCAAGCGUUGUUCGGAAUUACUGGGCGUAAAGGGCUCGUAGGUGGCCAACUAAGUCGGACGUGAAAUCCCUCGGCUUAACCGGGGAACUGCGUCUGAUACUGGAUGGCUUGAGUUCGGGAGAGGGAUGCGGAAUUCCAGGUGUAGCGGUGAAAUGCGCAGAUAUCAGGAGGAACACCAGCGGCGAAGGCGGCGCUCUGGGCCGGUACUGACGCUGAGGAGCGAAAGCGUGGGGAUCAAACAGG